CCAGCUCCAAUAGCGUAUAUUAAAGUUGUUGCAGUUAAAAAGCUCGUAGUUGGAUUUCUGACGUGGAGCUGUCGGCCCGGCACCUUCGGGUGUUGUGUUGUCGACAUAUCCUGUCAUCUUUUCGGUUGCCUUAUUAUGCUCUUAACUGGGUGUAGUAAUGGUGCCGAUCUUUUACUUUGAAAAAAUUAGAGUGUUCAAAGCAGGCUUAUUGCUGUUGAAUACAUUAGCAUGGAAUAAUAAUAUAGGACUUCUGUCUUAUUUUGUUGGUUUCUAAGAUGGAAGUAAUGAUUGAUAGGGAUAGUUGGGGGUGCUCGUAUUCAGCGGCCAGAGGUGAAAUUCUAUGAUUCGCUGAAGACGAACUUAUGCGAAAGCAUUCACCAAGGAUGUCUUCU
rnacentral:rRNA from 1 species